rnacentral:rRNA from 1 species
UGACAGUACUCCUACGGGGAGGCAGCAGUGGGGGAAUAUUGCACAAUGGGCGCAAGCCUGAUGCAGCCAUGCCGCGUGUGUGAAGAAGGCCUUCGGGUUGUAAAGCACUUUCAGUCGUGAGGAAGGUAGUGUAGUUAAUAGCUGCAUUAUUUGACGUUAGCGACAGAAGAAGCACCGGCUAACUCCGUGCCAGCAGCCGCGAUAAUACGGAGGGUGCGAGCGUUAAUCGGAAUUACUGGGCGUAAAGCGCAUGCAGGUGGUUUGUUAAGUCAGAUGUGAAAGCCCGGGGCUCAACCUCGGAAUAGCAUUUGAAACUAGGCAGACUAGAGUACUGUAGAGGGGGGUAGGAAUUUCAGGUGUAGCGGUGAAAUGCGUAGAGAUCUGAAGGAAUACCGGUGGCGAAGGCGGCCCCCUGGACAGAUACUGACACUCAGAUGCGAAAGCGUGGGGAGCAAACAGGAUUAGAUACCCUGGUAG